rnacentral:snRNA from 1 species
GUGAUCACUUCUGCAGCCCAAAUAUUAAAACUGGAAUGCUACAGAGAUGAUUAGCAUGGUCCCUGCACAAGGAUGACACACACACUCCUGAAGAGUCCCAUAGCUUU